CUAAUACAUGCAAGUCGAACGCGUUGGCCCAAUUGAUUGACGGUGCUUGCACCUGAUUGAUUUUGGUCGCCAACGAGUGGCGGACGGGUGAGUAACACGUAGGUAACCUGCCCAGAAGCGGGGGACAACAUUUGGAAACAGAUGCUAAUACCGCAUAACAGCGUUGUUCGCAUGAACAACGCUUAAAAGAUGGCUUCUCGCUAUCACUUCUGGAUGGACCUGCGGUGCAUUAGCUUGUUGGUGGGGUAACGGCCUACCAAGGCGAUGAUGCAUAGCCGAGUUGAGAGACUGAUCGGCCACAAUGGGACUGAGACACGGCCCAUACUCCUACGGGAGGCAGCAGUAGGGAAUCUUCCACAAUGGGCGCAAGCCUGAUGGAGCAACACCGCGUGAGUGAAGAAGGGUUUCGGCUCGUAAAGCUCUGUUGUUAAAGAAGAACACGUAUGAGAGUAACUGUUCAUACGUUGACGGUAUUUAACCAGAAAGUCACGGCUAACUACGUGCCAGCAGCCGCGGUAAUACGUAGGUGGCAAGCGUUAUCCGGAUUUAUUGGGCGUAAAGAGAGUGCAGGCGGUUUUCUAAGUCUGAUGUGAAAGCCUUCGGCUUAACCGGAGAAGUGCAUCGGAAACUGGAUAACUUGAGUGCAGAAGAGGGUAGUGGAACUCCAUGUGUAGCGGUGGAAUGCGUAGAUAUAUGGAAGAACACCAGUGGCGAAGGCGGCUACCUGGUCUGCAACUGACGCUGAGACUCGAAAGCAUGGGUAGCGAACAGGAUUAGAUACCCUGGUAGUCCAUGCCGUAAACGAUGAGUGCUAGGUGUUGGAGGGUUUCCGCCCUUCAGUGCCGGAGCUAACGCAUUAAGCACUCCGCCUGGGGAGUACGACCGCAAGGUUGAAACUCAAAGGAAUUGACGGGGGCCCGCACAAGCGGUGGAGCAUGUGGUUUAAUUCGAAGCUACGCGAAGAACCUUACCAGGUCUUGACAUCUUGCGCCAACCCUAGAGAUAGGGCGUUUCCUUCGGGAACGCAAUGACAGGUGGUGCAUGGUCGUCGUCAGCUCGUGUCGUGAGAUGUUGGGUUAAGUCCCGCAACGAGCGCAACCCUUGUUACUAGUUGCCAGCAUUAAGUUGGGCACUCUAGUGAGACUGCCGGUGACAAACCGGAGGAAGGUGGGGACGACGUCAGAUCAUCAUGCCCCUUAUGACCUGGGCUACACACGUGCUACAAUGGACGGUACAACGAGUCGCGAACUCGCGAGGGCAAGCAAAUCUCUUAAAACCGUUCUCAGUUCGGACUGCAGGCUGCAACUCGCCUGCACGAAGUCGGAAUCGCUAGUAAUCGCGGAUCAGCAUGCCGCGGUGAAUACGUUCCCGGGCCUUGUACACACCGCCCGUCACACCAUGAGAGUUUGUAACACCCAAAGUCGGUGGGGUAACCUUUUAGGAGCCAGCCGCCUAAGGUGGGACAGAUGAUUAGGGUGAAGC
rnacentral:rRNA from 2 species